GAUGAAGAACGCAGCGAAAUGCGAUAAGUAAUGUGAAUUGCAGAAUUCAGUGAAUCAUCGAAUCUUUGAACGCACAUUGCGCCCGCCAGUAUUCUGGCGGGCAUGCCUGUUCGAGCGUCAUUUCAACCAUCAAGCCCCCGGCUUGUGUUGGGGACCUGCGGCUGCCGCAGGCCCUGAAAACCAGUGGCGGGCUCGCUAGUCACUCCGAGCGUAGUAAUACAUCUCGCUCAGGGCGUGCUGCGGGUUCCGGCCGUUAAAAAAGCCUUAUUUACCCAAGGUUGACCUCGGAUCAGGUAGGAAGACCCGCUGAACUUAAGCAUAUCAAUAACGGAGGA
rnacentral:misc_RNA from 1 species